rnacentral:rRNA from 1 species
AUGGUACAGGAAAAGUACAACCAGCACCUUCAGCUUACCAAGGACUUUUGUGAAUCUGUUCAGAAGUCUGUGCACAAGGAGAAUUAUAGGAAAAUAAUGAUGGAUGUGGAUGAGGAGAAGAUAUCUCUAGAUGCAGCUGACAAGAUGAUCAACUUAGAGAAAGAGAUCUUUGAUCUGAAAAAGAAGGUUGAAGUGGCUGAAGAGGUUGCUGCUGAGCUCAAAAAGGAGAAGAAACAACUUGAAUAUAACUUACAUGACCUUUGGAAGGUUGGAGAGGAGAACAAGAGGAAGCUGAAGAUGAUGAAGGCAAUCUUGGAGGAGUGA